UACAGAACAUCAGAUUCUGAUGCCAUUCCUGGGCUGCAGGCUCUCCCUCGGACCACCCUUCAUUUUUAUUUGAACAGCACCUAGCAUUAAAAGGACUUACUUUCCCUUUAGCCCUCAAACCAUAUAAAUGCAUGUAAACAGUAAUAACUGGCCACCAAUGCACUUCAAAGUGGACCACAGAGAUCAACAGAGGUCAGGUCCUCUUUAACUCCAUGAAAAAAGCAGCAAUACCCUUGAAAAUUAGGAAUAGUGGGAAGUGAUAGAUAUUUAUUCCUGACAACCAACUGUUUCCAGAGUAGAAAUCAACUCAUACUUUGUAAGAGAAAUAAGCUACCUUUCUAAACUUAGAUUUUAAAGCAUCAGCCUCUCUACUCCUGAAAGUGUGCAUUCACUGCUAAGGUACACAGUGGCCGUACAAAAAUUUUCCUACCAUUAAGUUGGUAUUUAAUUUACCUUUCUCUUGCAAGUCACUUGAAAUUAACACUCAGUAAAUUGUUUUUAGGGGAGACGUGGUAGGGACAAACUGAGUAUCUAAGUAAACCCUGCUUGUCCCUUGCCUGAAUAAAUUAGGACUAUUAAAAAAGACAGUGUCGGGUAAUGGUGGAUGUGUAAUAAAAAUUAUAAAUAGUAUCUAACAUUUUAAAUAUUUCACCCAUCUGUUCUUUAUGGAAUAUCAAUAUGCUACUCAUUUGCUAAGAUUUGACUCAACUGUUUUUUUAAUGACCCUUGACAUACAUACCCAGGACCAAAAGGGAGACAGACAGGAGAGACCUCACCACAAUUUAUCAGUGAUGACACUAGGGAAGAACCUUGUAUUGAUUAUGUGCUGCUCAGUCCAUUAGAUAAAGUUAUAAUGUCAUAGGAGGUUGGUGCUAGAAUGGUCAUAGUUGCUCAAGACAUGUUUAACAGUGUGGGUGUUUAGUCAGUGGAGGCGGUGAAAUUGUUUUUCUAAAAGAAUGAGCUGUGCCACCAGGUGAAGGAGCUACACAAGGAAGUGAAUAGAAUAGUCAAGAAAAUGAGUGAGAGAUUGAUAGGUUGUUCUCAGACACUACAGUCUCAAGAGUCUCAAACUUUCACUGUAGUAGAGAGCCAGGUGAACUUGGAAUCCUGUCAAGUAGCUAGUCAAGAGUCUGUUGAACAGAAGGUUGGAAGCUGGUCACGAUCUGUACCAUGAGAAAACCAGUGUGACCAGUGAUAGGCAGUGGGACAUGUCUACCGGGGAUCACCUAGCCACGACAAUGACACUGAUGAAUUAUUCUUCAAGGAGCUAAGGGACACCUCCAAAUCAACUGCCCAUGCUCUUAUGGGAGACUUCAACUUGCCAGAUGUUAACUGGGAACACCAUACUGCUGGCACAAACAGGGCCAGAAGAUUCCUGAAAAACCUGAUGAUUGCUUCAUUGCACAGGUUCACUGACUUUGGAAAGAUCUGUGGGAAGAAAUGCCCUUCUUUCACAUAUCGGGAAAAUCCAUUCUUGCUGUCCCACUUACACAUACUGGUUGUGUGAAAGCACAGAGCAGAGCUGCAUCCAACCAGUCUGAGUGCUGGUCUACUUUGGGUGGAAGUAGCCAUUCACAAAGGAGACCUCUGGUCCCUGAAGGCUGACUCAGCAUUAUUGAAUUCUCACAGGUGGGUACUUGAAAAUCAGGCAUAGCAGUGUUACAGCCAUUACACCCAAGCGUCCUUUCUGUCUGGCCUUCAGUAUUAUGGGAUGUGGCUAAGGAAAUGUCAGGCAGAACAAGCACCAAGUUCUGCUGCACGGCAUUAUGAAUUGCUGUUGUAACCAGUGG